UACGCAGGGUGCAAGCGUUGUCCGGAAUUACUGGGCGUAAAGGGCUCGUAGGCGGCCAACUAAGUCAGACGUGAAAUCCCCAGGCUUAACCUGGGAACUGCGUCUGAUACUGGAUGGCUUGAAUUCGGGAGAGGGAUGCAGAAUUCCAGGUGUAGCGGUGAAAUGCGUAGAUAUCUGGAGGAACACCUGCGGCGAAGGCGGGUUGCUGGGCUGAUACUGACGCUGAGGCGCGAAAGCCAGGGGAGCGAACGGG
rnacentral:rRNA from 1 species